UACGUAGGAGGCGAGCGUUGUCCGGAAUUACUGGGCGUAAAGCGUGCGCAGGCGGUUCGUUAAGUCUGCUGUGAAAGCCCUGGGCUCAACCUGGGAAUGGCAGUGGAUACUGGCGAGCUAGAGUACGGUAGAGGAAGGUGGAAUUCCCGGUGUAGCGGUGAAAUGCGUAGAGAUCGGGAGGAACACCAGUGGCGAAGGCGACCUUCUGGACCAGUACUGACGCUCAUGCACGAAAGCGUGGGGAGCAAACAGG
rnacentral:rRNA from 1 species